AAGUCGUAACAAGGUUUCCGUAGGUGAACCUGCGGAAGGAUCAUUAUCGAUGGCCGCGCCGUGAGCGCCCUGGUGCAGGAUCGGCCGGCCACUGACCACACCCUUACUUUACGAGCACCUUUCGUUCUCCUUCGGCGGGGCAACCCGCCGCUGGAACCUCAUCAAACCUUUUUUUGCAUCUAGCAUUACCUGUUCUGAUAAAAAAAUAAUCGUAACAACUUUCAACAAUGGAUCUCUUGGCUCUG
rnacentral:misc_RNA from 1 species